rnacentral:rRNA from 1 species
GAAUCUUGCGCAAUGGGCGAAAGCCUGACGCAGCCAUGCCGCGUGAAUGAUGAAGGUCUUAGGAUUGUAAAAUUCUUUCACCGGGGACGAUAAUGACGGUACCCGGAGAAGAAGCCCCGGCUAACUUCGUGCCAGACGCCGCGGUAAUACGAAGGGGGCUAGCGUUGCUCGGAAUUACUGGGCGUAAAGGGCGCGUAGGCGGAUCGUUAAGUCAGAGGUGAAAUCCCAGGGCUCAACCCUGGAACUGCCUUUGAUACUGGCGAUCUUGAGUAUGAGAGAGGUAUGUGGAACUCCGAGUGUAGAGGUGAAAUUCGUAGAUAUUCGGAAGAACACCAGUGGCGAAGGCGACAUACUGGCUCAUUACUGACGCUCAUGCACGAAAGCGUGGGGAGCAAACAGG